rfam:Lachnospiraceae bacterium JC7 contig00034, whole genome shotgun sequence.
GGGGUUGUGGCGGAAUUGGCAGACGCGCAGGAUUUAGGUUCCUGUGUCCAUGACGUGAGGGUUCAAGUCCCUUCGACCCCA